GUGGGCGUAGCUCAGUCGGUUAGAGCGCCAGGUUGUGGCCCUGGAGGUCGCGGGUUCAAGUCCCGUCGCUCACC
rnacentral:tRNA from 1 species